CUAAACUGGUUAAAAUGCUGAUCCUGGCUGUACUUAAUUGCAUCCUGAUUUUAUAUGCUGAAUGUCAGACUCCGGUGCUAUCACCUUCUACUAUUUCAGUUCCUACUAAUCAAAAAGCAACAUUUAUUUGCAAUGUUGGGGUAAAAAAUGCUCAUCAUAUAUGUUUGCUGAGGCAGAUUCCCGGAGAAGCUCCAAAACUCAUUGUAUGUGACCAUUCUUCAUACACAGCUCCACAAUUUGGACCUGGAAUGUCGUCUGCACAUUAUGAUUUUUCAAAGAACAGUGCUUGGACUGAGUAUACCCUGUCUAUAAAAAAUGUGGAUAUUGGAGACACAGCUCUUUAUCAUUGUGCCAAGUAUUAUGAUGGUCCUGGAUACCACUGUAAUAAAUAG